GCGCAAUGGGCGAAAGCCUGACGCAGCGACACCGCGUGCGGGAUGAAGCUCUUCGGAGUGUAAACCGCUGUGGCGAGGGAAGAAUUUUGACGGUACCUCGCUAGAAAGCACCAGCUAACUACGUGCCAGAAGCUUCGGUAAUACGUAGGGUGCAAGCGUUAUCCGGAAUUACUGGGCGUAAAGCGUCCGUCGGCGGUUUGAUAAGUCUUUCGUUUAAGCCUAGGGCCUAACUCUAGAUCGGCGAAGGAAACUAUCUUACUUGAGUCUAUUCGGGGAAACUGGAAUUCUCGGUGGAGGGGUGAAAUCCGUAGAUAUCGAGAGGAACGCCAAGCGCGAAGGCAAGUUUCUAGAAUAGCACUGACGCUCAGGGACGAAAGCUAGGGUAGCAAAAGGGAUUAGAGACCCCUGUAGUCCUAGCCGUAAACAUUGGAUGCUAGAUGGUUGUUCUUUUAGAAUGACCGUCGUAAGCUAACGCGUUAAGCAUCCCGCCUGGGGAGUACGACCGCAAGGUUA
rnacentral:rRNA from 1 species